UACGAAGGGGGCUGGCGUUGUUCGGAAUUACUGGGCGUAAAGCGCGCGCAGGCGGUCUUCCAAGUCAGUGGUGAAAGCCUGGAGCUCAACUCCAGAACUGCCAUUGAAACUGUUAGACUUGAGUACGAGAGAGGUGAGUGGAAUUCCCAGUGUAGAGGUGAAAUUCGUAGAUAUUGGGAAGAACACCAGUGGCGAAGGCGGCUCACUGGCUCGUAACUGACGCUCAGGCGCGACAGCGUGGGGAUCGAAACAGG
rnacentral:rRNA from 1 species